UACGUAAGGUGCGAGCGUUGUCCGGAAUUAUUGGGCGUAAAGAGCUCGUAGGCGGUUUGUCGCGUCUGCUGUGAAAACUCGGGGCUUAACUCCGGGCCUGCAGUGGGUACGGGCAGACUAGAGUUCGGUAGGGGAGACUGGAAUUCCUGGUGUAGCGGUGAAAUGCGCAGAUAUCAGGAGGAACACCGGUGGCGAAGGCGGGUCUCUGGGACGGUACUGACGCUGAGACGCGAAAGCGUGGGGAGCGAACAGG
rnacentral:rRNA from 1 species